GAAACACUACAAACUCCUCCCAAUUGCCGCGAAUGGCGUCCUCCGCCACCGCCAGUAAGCUCACCGCCCCGCCCCCGUCAAUAUGCCCCCCCUCCUCCUCCUCGCGUCUCCCCACUCGGUUCCGGUCACUGCCGUUUCCGGUCACCGUCCCACCGCUCACCUCCGCUACCCCCCUCGCCUCCCCCAGCCAAACCCUAAACCUAACCCGCGUCGCCUCCCUCCGCCAUUAAAAUGCGCUGCUCUGCCUUCGGCGACCUCUCCGCACCCACCCCGAAACCCUAAUCCCUCGCUGGUCGAUGGGUUCCUCCUCGUCGUCUCCUUCCUCGGAAUCCUGCCCCGCGAUUCCCCUGAGCGAUGGAGGCGCCUUUUGGCUAUCUCGGAGGAGGCGGAGUCGAGGCUCGCGGGGAUCCCGCCGCAUCUGAUCCACGCCAUUACGAGCUCCGAGGAUCGCCGCUUCUUUUUCCACCCGGGGGUCGAUUGCCACGGCAUCUCGCGGGCUAUUGUGAAGUACCCCAAUGGCGGUGGUGGGAGCACCAUUACGCAGCAGCUAAUGAAGAGAAUCUUUCUGACAAGUGAACGGAAAAUAUCAAGAAAAUUCAUAGAGGGGUUAUUGUCACUGCUGAUCGAGAAGAGAAUGUCUAAAACGAAAAUAUUCUAUUCGUACUUGAGCACGAUGUACUGGGGACAUGGAAUGUUUGGAAUUGAAUCAGCAUCUUCCUUCUACUUUCAGAAGCAACCUAUCUUUCUCACUGUGGGAGAGUCAGCUUUGCUGGCCGGAAUAUUACCUGCUCCUGAGAUUCUAAAUCCUUUUACGGACCCUAGAAGAGGCAAGUCCUCCCAGCAACGGGUACUCAGAAGGAUGGUAGCAGAAGGGUUUCUUGACAUGGAGACAGCACUUAAGGUCGCAAAACAACCUCUUCGUUUGCAUAAGGAAAACAAGGAAGUUUUAGUAUGAGGAAUUAAAGGGACAGUCGGUUUGAGGACCAUUUACCCUUGUCAUCUUUCAUGCAUGAGCUUUCAGUCUGUUGGAAGAACUAUCAUUUAAUAAGAAGUUAUGUUUCGCUGUCGUCGACCCACCAACCACCAGGUCAUUUUUUGACGCACCUCGGCCACUCGAUCCGAAGCAUCUACAAGGGGUUAGUUGCCUUUAACAUUAAAGAUGCUACUAGUGAACUAGCUGUACCAGGCAAAGUCAUAUGCUCCAGAAUAAAACAUUGGUUGUAGCUGCCCAGCGCCAUUGAUGAUGUACUUGAAUGUAACCACUCAUCAGCUGUUUUCUAUUUAAUCUUUGCAGGGGAGUACUUUGAAUGAAACCACUCGCGCUGCUUGUUGUAUUUGUAAUCUUUGGUGAUAACUGUAGCCUUGGAUGCUUCACUUUAACUUGAUAUAAACUACGAUGAAUACCUUUUUUUGGGUCCAAAGUACAAAUGAGAUGGAUGUUUGUUGUCCCAACCAUUCUUGUUAGUCCCGUUGAUGUUGCGUGUUUGUUGUGGCA